ensembl:snRNA U6 U6 spliceosomal RNA
GUGCCCACUUUGGCAGCACAUACACUAAAACUGGAGUGAUACAGAGAAGAUUAAUGUGGUCCCUGCACAAGGAUGACAUGCAAAUUUGUGAAGCGUUCCAAGAAUGU